UACCUUAUGUUGCCUCGGCGGAUCAGCCCGCGCCCCGUAAAAAGGGACGGCCCGCCGCAGGAACCUUAAACUCUGUUUUUAGUGGAACUUCUGAGUAUAAAAAAC
rnacentral:misc_RNA from 1 species